CAAGACAAACGUAAAUGGUAAAUGGUUCUUCUGAGUUUGGAUUAACCUUUGUGUGGUGUGUUACACUAACACACUAAUUUACCAGAUCAAGUAGGCCAAGGCUUCUGGGUUUCUUUUUUCUUUCCUUAAAAUAGACGUAUGCUUGCUUUUAAUAAUGUGUUUGUGUAUGUCUUGUACAGGGGUGUGCACAUGGGUGCCCCCGACAGCUGGAGGUCGUGGUUGUGGCAGCCUGAUUGGGCGGGCACUAGGAACCCAACUCAGGUCCUCUGCAGACUCAGCACUUACACUCUUAACCCUAAGCCAUCUCUCCAGCCCUGGCCAGGCAUGGUGGUUAAGGCACACUCAGUCCUAGCGCUUUGGAGGCAGAGCAGGCAGGUCUGUGAGUCCCUGUCCAUCCACGGCCACAUAGUAAGGCUCUGUCUCAAAACAAACAAGUUAAAAAAUGAUCACAAA
rnacentral:lncRNA from 1 species